UGGGGCUCGAUCCCAGCAUGCUAGGAUCAUGACCUGAGCUGAAGGCAGACACUUAACCGACUGAGCCACCCCGAGAACUUUAUCUUCGUGUCCUUGACCAAGAAGCCCAGUUAGUGAUGAGGAGCCACCUCUCAUCCCCCACCUCACCUUGGCAAGUUCUGCAGCCUCCACCCCACCAGGACCACAUCUGUGACCCAGACUAGGACACCAUUGCUCAAGGCUUUGCAUAUGACUUUCUAGAGAAAGCUGAGGAGGAAAUAAAGUGAAGUGCAAAAGAAGAAAAAGCACAAACGAACCAGCACUUCGAUGACCCUCUCGGUGAGCCUGCUGUAAUUCGGUAGCAGGACAUAGAUGGUCGGCCAUGAGAUGACUUUGAUUUAAGCAAAACCAGACAAGGAGAUAAAUGACAUUUUAGCACCAGCCCUUUCAUUAAUGAUUUGGCCUUCACUCAGUGAACCAUAUGAGUGAAUAUGAACCAUAUGAGUGAACCAUAUUAGGUGAACCAUAAGAAAUAUAGCAGCUGUCCAAUAAAUGCAGCCAGGACAACUGGGUCAUCAGCUGUUUUUAAACUUUUGGAAACAAGCAGGGGUGAAAAAUGUCCUUUUGAUGCAGUAUUAAGGGAGACAAGAUAUCCUUUUUAUCUAAGUGGACAGAGAAAUAUAGGAGAAAAGGACUUAAAUUAUCAAUAUGGUGUGAGUUUUGAGUUUCUGAGGAUCUACCCUCAUUUGGAGAAAUACAGGUCUUGAAGCUUGGCAUUUCCUAGCGUGGAGUGGCUGUACC